AUUGAACGCUGGCGGCAGGCCUAACACAUGCAAGUCGAACGCGUCGCGGACGGGUGAGUAUUGUCUGGGAAACUGCCUGCUGGCGGGGGAUAACUACUGGAAACGGUAGCUAAUACCGCAUACCAUCAGAUGUGCUCAGAUGGGAUUCGCUAGUUGGUGGGGUAACGGCUCACCAAGGCGACGAUCCCUAGCUGGUCUGAGAGGAUGACCAGCCACACUGGAACGGAGACACGGUCCAGACGCAUACGGGAGGCAGCAGGGGGGAAGAUUGAACAAUGGGCGCAAGCCUGAUGCAGCCAUGCCGCGUGUAUGAAGAAGGCCUUCGGGUUGGAAAGUACUUUCAGCGGGGAGGCGUUACCCGCAGAAGAAGCACCGGCUAACUCCGUGCCAGCAGCCGCGGUAAUAC
rnacentral:rRNA from 1 species